rnacentral:rRNA from 1 species
GAGUUUGAUCGUGGCUCAGAACGAACGCUGGCGGCAUGCCUAACACAUGCAAGUCGAACGCGUGUAGCAAUACACGAGUGGCGGACGGGUGAGUAACGCGUGGGAACCUGCCCAAUGGUAGGGAAUAACUGCGGGAAACUGCAGCUAAUACCCUAUGCUCCCUACGGGGGAAAGAUUUAUCGCCAUUGGAGGGGCCCGCGUCGGAUUAGCUAGUUGGUAGGGUAACGGCCUACCAAGGCAACGAUCCGUAGCUGGUCUGAGAGGAUGAUCAGCCACACUGGGACUGAGAUACGGCCCAGAUUCCUACGGGAGGCAGCAGUGGGGAGUAUUGGACAAUGGGGGAAACCCUGAUCCAGCAAUGCCGCGUGAGUGAAGAAGGCCUUAGGGUUGUAAAGCUCUUUCGGCGGGGACGAUGGUGACGGUACCCGCAGAAGAAGCCCCGGCUAACUUCGUGCCAGCCGCCGCCGU